rnacentral:rRNA from 1 species
GGGUCAGUAGGUUGGUCGUGCCACCGGUACGUACUGGUCUCACUGAUUCCUCCUUCCUGAAGAACCGUAAUGCCAUUAAGUUGGUGUUGCGGGGAAACAGGACUGUUACUUUGAAAAAAUUAGAGUGUUUAAAGCAAGCUAACGCUUGAAUACAUUAGCAUGGAAUAAUGAAAUAGGACGAUCGAUCCUAUUUUGUUGGUCUCUAGGAUUGACGUA